GCAAGCUCCUUAUGUUCUGGGAUUCUACCCCUCUGUGGGCUUAGGUUGACCAAAAGAUCAGUCCCAGUCCAUCAGGUUUAAGCCACGGUUUUAAGUCUUACAUUAGAGUGUGAAAGUAAGUCAGAGACCUCACAGCCUCUAAAUUACUGAAGUAAAAGUGAACAAACACCACGAUGACAUUUAACAAGGGGAUCCUUUCACCUGAAGUUUGGGUUCUUUCUGGUCCAGCAGCAGUUACUUGGAGCAUGCUUAGUUCUGGAAGCUGAACUGCAAAAUUAGCACCCCUGUGCUAAUUUUAAUUAACUGUCCCUCACACAGGACAAAGACUGGAUGGUUUGUGGUUGAAUUGCUGCUUGGUCCCAGAACCCCAUCUGUGUGUGGAUGGUUUCUAGGUGUGCUAUAGCUGUCUUGGAGAUAAAGAGGAUGGGUAUGUUAAUAGAGCUGUCAGUCUACUGCCUUUCAGUGGAUUUAAUCAUAAUUGUCCAAGGAAAAAGCAGAGAGAAGGACAGAGGCAGUCAAACAGGCAGUGUGUUCUUUGUGGAUGCACAGGCAAUACAAGCCACAGCAGGAAAAGUUUGUUUUUCACAGCACAGUAAAUGACUUCUGUCACUUCACUGAACAGGGGGAGAGGCUUGUGGAUGAGCGAGGAAGAUUAUAUAAUUCCGAGGCCUGAACUCUGAACUGUGUAAUCUUAAACUCAUUAAAAUCUCUUAUCCAACCAGUCAGACUGGGAGCACAACAGAGAGAUCGAUGGGGGGAAUUAAAAGCAGCAGCGAUUGCUGCUUUGCACAUGCUUACCUGAAUAUUAACCCUUUGCCUUCCCACGCUGUCUUCCACAGUGGGGAGGGGUAGAAACUGAAAGAAGGAGGAAGAUUUUAAUUUAUCAUAUUUUUAAACAGGGAUCUGGAUAAGUUUUUCCAGGUGCCCCCCGGGGAAGAUGCCUGUGGAACGUAUUUCAGUAAAGAACUCAUUUAAAUGAGGAACUGUCUUGUGCGUUUUAGCCACUUUUUGAUGGAGAAUAAGACAGAUCCCCUGCUCCCUCAUGGAGAAAAUACUGCAGAGAGUCAAUACAACUUAGUGCCAGAAUGAGAGGAAUGCUGAAACCAGAGUCUGAGCCUACACUGUGCAGCUGAAGUCAUGUUUUGAACUCAGGAAGAUUUUCAGUCUAGAAGGUGUCCUUCCUGGUUUCUCAGGGGAUGGAAAUCCACAUCACAGGACUGUUUCACUAGUACUAUUUUGCCCACUUCUGUAGACAGAUCAAGCAAAGAAGAAACUACUCCUGGUUUUCACCAUUUUGCACAUGUGGGUAGUGAAUGCCAGCUGGAGGAAUAAUGCCAGAGGGAAGUUUAGGGUGUACUGGUGUACAAGUAUAUUCGUCUGCAGUCUCUCUUAUAGAUAAAUUAGCUAUUGUCUUUUGGUUUCUAAAGCUACUGACUCUGCCACAAUUCAGAUUUUCCCACAACAACAUACUUAUAUGCAGCCCCAGUGUUAACAGGAGUAGGUGAGUUUUGCUGAAGCAGUUGGCAGAGAUCAUAUCAACUUCUUCCUCUUCCCAAAGCCACCUGCAUCCUGCUGUUGACUGUGACAUGAACUUUGUCUCUCAACAGUUGUUUACGCUUUUAAUACAACUGCCUGGAGUAGGCAAGCAAAUAAUCUUGUGUAGACUCAUAUAACCAGGACUCAGGGAUCUGGAACUCCUCACACAGGAUUCAUCAGUGACAGGGGAGGGCAGGCCAAGAGCUGGGACUUGCAGAAGAAAGUCCCCAGCACUAAAAUGCUGAGAAGAUCACACCCCGUGGCUGCUGAGGGCACCAGCACAGCACAACAGACCCCAAGGGCAUCAUGGCAGGAAAAAGUCAGAGGGCAGGUUCAGGACUAUUGUCUGGUCUGGUCUGGGAGCUCAGGAUGGUGUGAGGAAAGGGCAGGGCAGAGCUGACGGCAGGGCUGGAAAAUGCUGGCAGAAUCCCUGGCCAGCCUGAGCAGGAGGGGUACCAAGGGACAAGGCAGAAUGUGAGAAAAGCCAGCGUUCCUGCUACCUCUUGUAGCACGUUUUGAUAUUAUUAACCUUUUUAUCUCUUUCUUCACUUGCAGAUUGUGUCCCUGAUGCUUUUUCAGCACGUAGAGUCUUAGGGGUUUUAUGUGGAUUUUCUGUUCCAAGAACCCAAUUUUUCUGAACGUGAACCUGUGACUGGAAGCGCCCAAUUUCUUUUUAUUACCUUAAAUAAUAAUGUAAUAAACCUCUCCCUCUUCACCUGUGUUUGUCUGCCUUUCCAGUCACACUCCAAGUCGGUGCCUGAGGACUCUGCCUGUCUCUGUACCUGCAGGAGCAGGCAGACCCGUUUGGCAAGUGUGACCCUGCCUGUCAGCUGUGUGUUGGACAUCCCUGGGGAGACAGCUGAGAAGACCUUGGGAAGAAAAGAACUGAAGCUGGGCGGGUCUGGGGCAGAAAAAUCAGUGAAGGAGGAACUUAGUCAUAAGAAUUACAACCACACCAAGGUAAUCAUCAGCUUCGUUAGGAGUGGCCUCAAACGAACUGGGAACCAGCAGCAGGAAAAGACUACUGCGGGGCAGGAGAAGUGGUGCAAUCCAGAAGGCAGAGGUUGGAGACCUCCUUGCUUGUAGCUGAACAUGCCAGGGGAUGUGAAGAGGUUCACACGAGUGCUCCUGGAAUGCAGCAGCAAUGACAAGCUGUGUGUUGUGCGUGAAUAUCAACCUGAGGUGAUCGUUGUCCCAGUUCUCCUCGUGGGGUCUUUUGUCAUCGUGCUCACUGUGAUCCUUUGGCUCCACUGUCGAGGCUUGAGAGCAAAGCAGGAGCAACCCCUCCCACCAUCUGGAACCCAAGUGAAGACAAAGAACCAGCAGGAAUUCUGCUCAGCAGAGAAUGGCUGCAUGCAGCUGAGUGAGACAUCCGUGGAGAGCCUGCUAAAAUCUGCAUCCCUGACUCUGAAGGAACUGCAGAUACCACGAGAGAAACUCCUGCCAGGCACCUUCCAGCUGAUAAAACACGGUGGCCAUGGGAGCAUCUACAGAGCACAGCUGGAAACUGGGAGCUCUGGGAAGACUAGGACUGUGGUGCUGAAAGCCUUACAAGGCCUGGGCAGUCCCCAGGAAGUAAAAGAUUUCCUGGGAAGGAUUAAAUUCCAUCAAGAUCUUGGCUGUCACGAGAACCUGGUUGAGCUGGUUGGAUGUUGUGUAGACAAACUCCCACUUUAUAUGAUCAUGGAGGACGUGUCUCUUGGUGACCUGCUGACGUUUCUGUGGACAUGUCGGAAGGAUGUAAUGGCAAUGGAUGGGAUCCCCUAUGACUUCACUGAGAGGCAAGUUUAUGAAGUUGGACAGCAGGUUGCAGCAGCCCUGGCUUACCUUGAAGAGAAGAAGCUGUUCCAUGGUGAUAUUGCUGCCAGGAAUGUCCUCCUCCAUCCCAACUUCUCUGCCAAGCUCUGUGGUUUGGGUCUGGCCUAUGAAACCCACGCUCGUGGUGCCACCUCGGUCACACGGGGUGUGCCAGUCAAGUGGCAGGCCCCAGAGAGGCUCCUGAGGAAGCCCCCCAGCAUCAAGGCAGACGUGUGGUCUUUUGGAAUUCUACUGUAUGAAAUGAUUACAUUAGGUGCUCCACCGUAUCCUGAGGUGCCACCUCCUGACAUCUUAUCACACCUGCAGAGACAGAACAUCAUGAAGCAGCCCUCACUCUGCCAGCAAGCCAUGUACAGCAUCAUGAAGUCCUGCUGGCAGUGGGAUGCAGCUAACAGGCCUUCUCCAGCACAGCUCCUCUGGUCCCUGAAAACAGCUCUGAAGAGCAGCAAUGGCCACACAGUUCUGCAGGUGCCUGAGCCAGUGGUGCCUGAACUCUAUGCUGAUGUUGCUGGUGUUGAUGUGCACAGUGUAGUGAGGGAAUACACCAUCCUCUGAAGGGCCCUUUCACGUGCUGGUGAAGGAGAAGUCACUUGAGUUUUCCCUUCCUAAAUAUUUUGCAAGCUCAGCAUGAGGGGUGUGUGUGUUGGAAGGGAUCCCUUUGUUUUUCAGACGUGUUUAUAUAUCUCAAAUCUCUCCUCCAGGCCAGACACAACAAGCUAUUAGCAUUGUUAUUAAAUCAACCUGUUGAUACCAUUCUGCCAGUGGUCAUUUGGGAGAUAACUGUGUUUAGGGAGCUGGAGAAAAUGUAAUGAGAAGCUGGAGUUAAAGGAGUGUAUUAGGUUUGUGUGGCAAGGAUUUGGUUAUGGGGUGGACUACAGGGGUGACUUCUGUGAGAAGAGAUUCCACCUGCAGCCCUUGGAGGAGCCCACACUGGAUGCCUGAGGGAGGCUGUGACCCCGUGGGAAGCCUGGGCUGGAGCAGAGACCUGGGAGGGAGCUGUGGAGAGAGGAGCCCACUCUGGAGAAGGACUGCACCCUGUGGAAAGGGACCCGUGCUGGAGCAGUUCGUGAAGAACUGCUGCCCGAGGGAAGGGCUCAGGCUGGAGAAGUUCCUGGAGGAUCCCACACUGGAGCAGGCAAAGAGUAUGAGGAGUCCUCCCCGUGAAGAGGAAGGAGCAGCAGAGACACCGUGUGAUGGGCUGACCACAACCCCCAUUCCCGGUCCCCCUGCUGGACAGGAGGAGGCAGAGAAACCGGGCGUGAAGCUGAGCCUGGGAAGGAGGGAGAGAUCAAGGUUUAUCUCUGCCACCUUUCUUCAGCCAUCUGAUCAUCAGUGAGAGGCUGAAUGAGCACCAGUAGAUCUCCUGAAGGUGAGGAAAGUCCUGUCCAGAACAGGCAGAGAGGGAAAAAAAGGUUAUGGUCCAAAAAGUGACAACAGACAGGAUGCACAGAUACUGAAUAUUCAUGGUGUGAUUUGGCUUCACCAUGUUGGAAUUUCCUGAAACCACAAAUGAGCUUUUUAAGAGUCCUUUUGAUCUCUAAAAUCUUUUUCCUGCUGCAAGUAGCAAAGGAUUCCCACUUAAACACCCAGAAGAGAGGUACUGCAGUUCUCCCUCUUCUGCACAGAAUGGCUUUUUGGUGAGGGCUGUGAUUUAGGCAUGAGGAUGUGAGAGUGUAUUUGUUUAUGCUACCUCCUACAGCUUGUGGUUUUAUUUAUAGCAGGUGUUGCACCACCAAGGAGUAGCAAUAAUUCACAAACAUCCCCCCCCCAACUCUCCAAGACACAAAAAAUGCUAAUUUUUUCACAUUAAUUAGGCUCAUAUUUAUAGAAUUCCUUAACAGGUCUUUCUAUGAUAAAAGCAGGAGGUGGCCUGGGGUUUUACUCUUGCCUUGUUUUUAAACAGCCCCCAGUGUUACCCACUUCUGCAGGAGGCAUUUUACUUCAUAGAAUCACAGAGUCACAGAAUGCCCUGAGUUGGAAUUGACCCACAAAAAUCGAGUCCAACUCCUGGACCUGCCCAAGACAACCCCAGGAGUCACACCCUGUCCCUCAGAGCAUUGUCCAAACCCUCCUGGAGCUCUGGCAGCCUUGGGGCUGUGCCCACUGCCCUGGGGAGCCUGGUCAGUGCCCAACCACCCUCUGGGGGAAGAACCUUUUCCUAAUAUUCGACCUAAACCUGCCUGACACAGCUCCAGGCCAUUCCUGGAGCCCUGUGGAGCCCCACUACUGACUGGUCUCUACUUCUGUAGCUUUGUGUUUCACUUUAGAGCUGUUGCUCUCCCGUUCCCGUGUCCACAGCUCCACACAAACAUGUUUUAGCCAUCAGAAGUUACAAGCUCGUUCCCCUUGCAAGCUCAUUUCCAGCUUCUCACCAGUACUUUAGACCUGGUUUUGCUUUCCCCUGCUGCCACCACUGCAUAUUUUGCCCUUGGCUGGAGCAGCCCCUGUUGUCAGAGCUGCUCCGAGGUGGCCUCCUAACCAGAAGGAUCAGUCCUGCCUGACUGCAGCAGCCUCUCACCUCAGCAGGGGUAGUUUCUCACACGUCAGACCAAAAGGGUGUCAAAAACCCCCCCUUCUUCCAGGGCUGGGGCUGUCUUUGCUUCACACGGGUUCAUAAAGGAUGCCAGUAGGGUUUCUGAUAUAAAAAAACGUGUGACAAAAUCCCCCAGCCUGCAGUGUUUGCCCUCAUUUCCCUGCAGUUCACCUUGUGUGGCAGCACUGACCGGUCUCACCACGGCUGCCCUCCCGUGAUGCAGGAACAGGACUUGGCCAUGGAAUCUGAUUUUGUAGAGAGGCAGCUGUGAAUCUGAACACAAAUUAAAACAACUCCAGGUGGAGUUUCACACAUUUCAGGUGGUGACAGGAGCAGCUGCACUGUCCUCUAAUGUGCUUUGAGCUCUCAGGUGGAAUCUGCUGCAUUUGGACUGCUGUAAGAAUUGAGAUAUUCCUGUUUCUCUUUCUGGGUUAUCUCACAUGUAUCUUGGUUUGGUGAAGCCUUUUCUAACCAAUCCUUUGGGCCAUUGAUAAGUUUCUACCAGUGUAAAAAGACCAGUGUAAUUUAAGGCAUAAAAUACCAGUGUAAAACUGAGAUUUAAGGCCCAAAUCACAUCAAAAGACUCCGUGUCCUACCUUUAAAUAAGGAGACUUACAAAAGUGGCCAAGGGUAGUACAAAAUUCUUAAUUUGCUCAGAUAUUUUACAUGAUCAGUAGAGGAAAAAAUGUACAUAUCAGUAAAAAAAAAAAUCAAAAUAAAACUGUGGAGGGAUUUGCCACGUUUUAAUAACAGGAAUUUUGCUGUCCCAGAGUGGGAAUCCCGGCUCAUGUGGGGAGCUGGGGGCUGUCACAUCCCCUGUCCCCAUCAUAAGGCAAAACUGACCCUGAAAAACACACUGAGAUCAAAAAAAUUUAUAAUCAAUAAUUUAUACUCAAAACCUCCCCCCCCCCAGUGGAACAAACCCUGGAGGAUUUUCCAGGAGGCUCAUUUAAAACAGAGGCUGAAGAUGUGGCAGCUCUAGGAUUCCCACACUUUUGGCUUGUUUUGGGGGUUUUUACAGUGCUUUAUGGGACAUUUUUCCAUCAGCUCUGAGGGAAAACACACAAAAAAUACAAAAACCAAGAAUGACUUGUGCAAUUCUCAGCUAAGGCAGUGAAUUCCUUGCAUUUGUGUUUCCAAAAAACGUGGAUUUAAGAAGAAAAUACGCAAAACUUUAAAUUGCUUAUUUGGUGAUGUCAUGAAAAUUAAUUUUAAAGUCUUCUGACCAGUUUGAUAUCCAGUAAUUUUGCUUUCCAAAUGUAAAUAAAGGCUGGUUUGGUUUUCUUGUUGCAAAUUGCUUUGGAUUAUAAUAAUCUGAUCACAAAUUCCGUCUUCUGUGGUAAUUAUUUCUGUGCAGGGUGCUGUAUUUACCUUUAUGGAUUUGGGUCCAUCUCCCUUGAAGAUUUUGCCCUUGGAAGCUCAUUUUCAUUCCUCUUUUUCUUCCAGUACUCCAUUGCAGGACUCAAAGUGUUAAUAAACACUUUGCAAAGCUACUUGUUUUUGUUCAUUAGUUUUCUUUAAUAGCUCUGAGUUACAAAAAAACUAAACAGCAUGUGAGACAAACAGCAGAGGUGCUCCAAAUACUUCAAUAAAUACUGUUAUUUUCUGUGUUUCUUCCUGGCAGAAUGUGAAGUAAACCAGGCAGGAUCCUUGGCUUUUAAAUUCUUUUCAUCUGGGGUGUUGUUUCAGCCUCUGAGGAGCACUCUCCCGUUUAAAAUGCCUUGCCUGUUGUUUGUAAUUUUGCAAGACUGACAUCUAAACCUUCAUAUAUUUUUACAAUGCCCAUUCUAGCAUUUUGCCACCUGACAGCCUCCCCUGAUUACUGAGCUUUUUGUCGUGGUGAUAACCCUGUUAACUUUCUGUUCUACUCUGCCUUCAGUGUGACAAAGGAUUAAAAGCA